UAACUGGGGAUGAAUUGAUCAAUUGUUGUGAAUCAGAAUACUGCCUUUUUUGCCUUUUAUCUUUUUCAGAGAGGGCAGUCUGGGGAUAGAAGAACUGAGAGUUGACUGAGGUUCUGAUGGUGGAUUGGAAGAGAGUUCUUGACCUACAAGUUCCUAGUCCUAGCCUUGGAGAGGUAGUGGAAUAACUCUUCAGCCUAAGAAAUAACAGCUUAAUGGUCAACUCCCUGCUGAAAGAUAAAUUGAAGAGAACAGCUUGAGAUUAUGUAGGUUAAGGGCAAGAUUGAAUUGAGAAUAAGUGCUAAAAGAAAAAAAUCUACACACAGACACAUAGAGAAAAGGACUGGAACUGUGCUUUCACUGGGAUGGACAACUCCAGAUGAGGGAACCUCUAUUACUGCCAGUUGGGAACUUCUCAUCUUGUCCUCCUAGAGAUUGCCUAAAAGUGUUCACUUGUUCUGUGAGUGUUGAAGUGACUCUCCCAGGCUCACGCAGCCAGUAGAUUUCAGAAGUGGAACUAUAAAUCCAGGUCUUCCUGCCUUCAACAGCAGAUUUCCAUGCACCAUGGGGCCACCAUUCAACACAUAGUAGAUACUUCAUAAAUGCUUAUUG